ACGAACGCUGGCGGCGUGCUUAACACAUGCCAGUCGAACGGAAAGGCUCUGCUUGCAGGGUACUCGAGUGGCGAACGGGUGAGUAACACGUGGGUGAUCUGCCCUGCACUUCGGGAUAAGCCUGGGAAACUGGGUCUUAUACCGGAUCGGAGCCAUUUUUAGGGUGAUGGGUGGAAAGGUUUUUCGGUGUAGGAUGAGCUCGCGGCCUAUCAGCUUGUUGGUGGGGUAAUGGCUUACCAAGGCGGCGACGGGUAGCCGGCCUGAGAGGGUGGACGGCCACAUUGGGACUGAGAUACGGUCCAGACUCCUACGGGAGGCAGCAGUGGGGAAUAUUGCACAAUGGGCGCGAGCGUGAUGCAGCGACGCCGCGUGGGGGAUGACGGCCUUCGGGUUGUAAACUCCUUUCGCUAGGGACGAAGCUUUUUGAGGCGGUACCUAGAUAAGAAGCACCGGCUAACUACGU
rnacentral:rRNA from 1 species